rnacentral:rRNA from 1 species
UACGGAGGGGGCGAGCGUUAUUCGGAAUUAUUGGGCGUAAAGGGCGCGUAGGCGGCGCGAUAAGUCAAAGGUGAAAUCCCUCGGCUCAACUGAGGAACUGCCUUUGAGACUGUCGAGCUCGAGGCCGGGAGGGGGUAGCGGAAUUCCCAGUGUAGCGGUGAAAUGCGUAGAUAUUGGGAGGAACACCAGUGGCGAAGGCGGCUACCUGGACCGGUUCUGACGCUGAUGCGCGAAAGCGUGGGUAGCAAACAGG